AGGUUCAGACUCACUGCUGCAAAGAGGACAACAACCUAGGCAACUUCAGCGAUGGCACCUGGAUACCUUCCAUAAGGUCCCUCGCGAAUUGCUCCAAGUUUCAGAUGGAUUCAGUAUCAGUGCUGUGUAAUCUACUGCAAUCUAAGGAGAAGAGGUACCCAUCUACAGAUUUUUUGUAGCAUGUACUGCGCUAUGCUUAUGUAAACUUCUAGCUAGGUAGUGGAGAAGGUUGCAGCUUGCUUAAUAAGCGACGUACGUGUACUCUUUUAACUGUUCAAUUGAUCUUGUUUACCAUCUGUCA